rnacentral:rRNA from 1 species
CCGUAGGGACUGCGGAGGGAUCAUUACACAAUAAAAUAUGAAGGCCUGGCUUCGCGGCCGGCUGAAAUAUUUUUUCACCCAUGUCUUUUGCGCACUUGUUGUUUCCUGGGCGGGUUCGCCCGCCACCAGGACCAAACCAUAAACCUUUUUCUUAUGCAGUUUCCAUCAGCGUCAGUAAAAACAAUGUAAUAAUUACAACUUUCAACAACGGAUCUCUUGGUUCUGGCAUCGAUGAAGAACGCAGCGAAAUGCGAUACGUAGUGUGAAUUGCAGAAUUCAGUGAAUCAUCGAAUCUUUGAACGCACAUUGCGCCCUUUGGUAUUCCAAAGGGCAUGCCUGUUCGAGCGUCAUUUGUACCUUCAAGCUUUGCUUGGUGUUGGGCGUUUUUGUCUCCCUCUUUCUGGGAGACUCGCCUUAAAACGAUUGGCAGCCGGCCUACUGGUUUCGGAGCGCAGCACAUUUUUUGCGCUUUGUAUCAGGAGAAAAGGACGGUACUCCAUCAAGACUUUUACAAUUUUAACUUUUGACCUCGGAUCAGGUAGGGAUACCCGCUGAACUUAAGCAUAUCAAUA